rnacentral:rRNA from 1 species
UACGUAGGCAGCAAGCGUUGUUCGGAGUUACUGGGCGUAAAGGGUGCGUAGGCGGCUUUUUAAGUUUGGUGUGAAAUCUCCCGGCUCAACUGGGGAGGGUGCGCCGAAUACUGAGAAGCUAGAGUGUGGGAGAGGAAAGUGGAAUUCCUGGUGUAGCGGUGAAAUGCGUAGAUAUCAGGAGGAACACCGGUGGUGUAAACGGCUUUCUGGACCAUAACUGACGCUGAGGCACGAAAGUGUGGGGAGCAAACGGG